UACAGAGGUCUCAAGCGUUGUUCGGAUUCAUUGGGCGUAAAGGGUGUGUAGGUGGCGCGCUAAGUCGGGGUGUGAAAUUUCGGAGCUUAACUCCGAAACUGCAUUCGAUACUGGCGUGCUUGAGGACUGGAGAGGAGACUGGAAUUUACGGUGUAGCAGUGAAAUGCGUAGAUAUCGUAAGGAAGACCAGUGGCGAAGGCGGGUCUCUGGACAGUUCCUGACAGCUGAGAACACGAAGGACCAGGGGAGCAAACGGG
rnacentral:rRNA from 1 species